UCCUUCCCAGCCAGGCAGAAAUCAGACUUUAUACCUUGUUGUGUAGAUCUCAUCCUACUUCAGUGAAUCCACAAGAGUCAGGAGGAGCCAGAGAUGUUGGGCAUGGAGCUACCUGGCCUCGGGCAGUAGAACCUCUUGGGCCCAAUGGAAUUGGUCUGCUUCUGAAGCCAAGGAAACAGUCAAGGGCCCAGAAGGAAGGUGAGGCUGAGAAUCUGAGGGGCACAUUAGGUGAGCCCAUUCACGUGCUGAUUAAUAAGUAAUCAUUAAUGCCUCCUUGGCUUAGGCCCCAUUAGGACAAGCCAUGCUGUGGGCAUUAAUCACACACGUAAUCAGGAGGAUUUCAGCCUGGCAUAAGUUACACACUCAAUACCACAAAUAAAAUGCCAUGGGAUCCAGGUGAGGGGGAACAUUUAUUUAAAAGAAAAGAUCAGCAUUCACAAGUUUACAAAUGCUUAUUAACUUUAUGAGUUUGAAGUUUUCACUAUUAGAACUAUCAAGGUGUUGUUUUAUCUGAUUUUAAGUAACAGGAAAAAGUCAUCUCUAGUUUUUAUUUCCUCAGUCACUGCUUCCACAGAGAUUUGCUGAGAAUUACUAUGGCCACGCAGGGUGCUUUCUUAAGCGGUUUUAUUCAGGACUCACCGUGGCCCCAUGGAGCACGUUUAUGACCCCUGUUUCCUACAGGUUAGGUAACUUGCCCAAGAUCGUGCAGCUUUCACGCCAGGAGGGUUCUUUUCCAGGGUUCUGAUUUCAAAUUCAUUGCUGUUUUGCUGGUUGUAUGAUCUGAGGAAGCAAACAAGAAUGCAGUGAAUGCCCAUGUGGCAAUCAAUUUUUGAGGGUGUAUUGAGGAAGGGGUUCACGACUCAAGCAUCUUUAGUAGUGAGCCGCAGGUGCUGAUGAGCUCUGUGUGGCACAUGGGUGAUCCAAAGAAUACGUGGUUUAAAAGCUAAACUGGCUCUGGCCCACAUUUUACUUUUUUAAAGAAGUAGAUCCACUUUCCCCUCAUUUUGUUUGCAUCAGUGUUAAAUGGAACAGGCAUGUGGGAUUUGUUAGCCUAGUUUUGCUUCCUGGAGGUGACAAGAGGUGAAAGUGAGUGUGGUUUGGAGGGUGGUAUGGGAUGAGUACCUUGCUGGCCCCUCAGAGCUGGACAGGGACAGAGACAAGCCAGGAGGUGAUGAGGCAGGAUAAGCUUGGAGCUUAUUGCCUGUGAAGUCUGUUCUGUGACUUUGGCAGCCACCUGGGGAUGGGGAGCAGGAGCUGGCUAACAGGAUUCUUAAAACACCAUGAGCCAUUGCAGGGAGGAGAGAGGAGCCCACAGCACUGAAGCAGCACCAAGUCCUAAAUGAAUUGAGUGGAGAUCCAACACUCGUUUUGCCCUCGCCACCGGGGCAAGUGUUCUCAUAUCAACCACAGCGUGUGGGGCAAGGAGUGCGUUCGGGAUGCCAUUUCUGAAUCACUGGAGUCUCCUAGCAGCUCAGCAGGAGACAAGGGAUGGAAUCGGAAGGUGCUGUGGGCACGUCUCCAUCAUCCCAGGCUGGCUUGAGAUCAAGCCUGGAGUCAGGAAACCCCUCCUUUCUGAGUCACGGAGGCCUUUCCUUGGAGCCCCCUCCCCCUCAACAAAUAAAACCAGGGCAUGGAGAUCAUUAUGCCGCACAUUAUUAGGCAAAAUUGGAUUAAUUAACCUCGUCUGGCCUCUCAGCUUGGGAGACAGAAAAAAAACGAGGCCUAGUUCAAAUGCAGCAUUUUGAAAA